GGGCACUUGUUUGCUCUCCAGACACAAGCCCACUUUCUUGCCUCAUUUCCUGAGCUCCUGAGAGCAAUGGGCUGUAGUUACAAAAGCAAUGUCUUCUGCCCCACGCGUAAAAGCAAAACCAGCCAAGAGAUGCUUUCUUGGUCUGUUUAUGAAGUUUCACCACCUGCAGAUCCUGCCUCCUCCUCUCAGCUGGGCUGAAGCCAUCCAGGGGCUCCUCACACGCUGUUUGCAUGAUGAUACACCCCUCUCUGACCACAAAGACCAACUGAGUGCCAGGGUGUUUGCUUUACUAUUUUGAUUACUUGGCUGAUAAGAAAAUUACAGAAAUCUAAACAGUGAGGAGAACAAGGAUGAGGCCGCCCGUUGCUUUGAUAGUGUGGCCUUAACUGCAGUCAGAGGCAUCUACCCCCCACAAAGAGGAGCUCUGCUGAGUUUCCACAUGUCCACACAAGGAUGAGGUAACCAUCUGCUUCAGCUGCUCCAAAGCAAGAUGGCUUUGCCUGGAACAUUUAAUCAGUCACAUUUG
rnacentral:lncRNA from 1 species